rnacentral:ncRNA from 1 species
AUAAGAGGUGCAAAUUUCAUCAGUAAGCGCAGUGUAGCGGAAAAGCGUUGCGCGGAAAGGGGAAUUUGCCGAAGUGUCGUAAUAAUUCCGUAAAAAGCGAUGCUGGGGCUGCAGAGAAUAUCUGCAGCACUGUCACAGAAAUGUGGAGUGCUUUCA